rnacentral:rRNA from 1 species
AUGCAACUCCGGUGGCGUCGAGGACGGCUGCAUCGUAGCUCUGGCGGCAUCUAUGACUGCUGCAUAGCACUCCGGCGGCUGCUGCAUUGUAGCUCCGACGUCGUCGUCGUCCGCUGCAUCAUAGCUCCGGCUCGUCGAUGUCGUCCACUGCAUCGUAGCUCAAAUAGCGUCCAGGCCGCCGCUGCCGUGCUUGGAGCGGGACAGUGGGAGCUGUGGGUGGUGCGUGUGUUGUGCGAGGGGAAGAUGGCAUCGAGGGGAAGUGCCAUCCGUGGGACACCAAAGGGACGGCCACGAUGUGCUCCAUCGAAUGGUUAUCAAGGCGGCUGA